AUGGAAGAACCCCCAGUCAAGAAGAGGAGAGGACCUUACCAUAGAUAUAUACAUGACCAUGAAUUCCCUGUUCCUAAAACAACUGAGUGGAGAAUGUGGAGAAUGAGCAAAGUCCAUUCAGAGAGGUGCAUUGAUGAGAGUGAUUGUGGUGGCUGUGGUCUACCUGGCAAUGAUGAUAGUCUGCGUCUGCUUGGUAGCGAUGAUGAUUUUUUGUCUCGUGGUGGUGGUGGCGGUGAUGACGAUGGUAGCUAUAGCCUGCCUGGCAGCGAUGAUACUUUGUCUGAUAGUCUGUCUGGUAGCUGUGGUGGUGAUGGUGGUGAUAGUCUGUCUAAUGGUGAUCUGUCCGAUGGUGGCGAUGAUGGUGGUGGUGAUAGUAGCGAUGGUGGUGAUGAUAGUCUGUCUGGUAGCGAUGAUGGAGAUCUGGUGAUGACAGCGAUCAAGAGUAAGUUUUCAGUGAACCAAUUUUGGCAUUGUUUUAUUAUUAGCAUUGUUUUAUUAUUAUUUUAUUGUUUGCAGAACAGACGAUGACGACGGUGAUAUAGAAGAAGAUUUGGCUCAACCAAUAUACCCUGGUGCUCGAGUGACGCUCCUCGGAGCCUACUGCUUGCUAAUGGCGAAUGAGCUUCCAUUCUCAACGAUGGUCCUACAAUUACUUUGCCCUAUGGGAAAUUUGCUACCAACAACGAAGUACCAGCUGCUCAAGUUUUCUCGUCAAUCUACGAGUAAACACGAACGAAUCGAUUUCUAUCGGUCCUGUGGUUUGGAGCGUGAAAGGAACAAGCGAUGCUCAUCGACAAGUUGUAGCAAGACGGAACCAGACACAAUGAUAAUUGUUUCUCCAGAACGAGCUCUCACAAGUAUAAUAUCAGGGAACUGGGCGAAGGUUAAAACCCAUUCGAAAACAAGAAAAGGGAUCAUUGAAGUUGCUUUCAACACCGAUGGAAUAUCACCUUUCAAAUCUUCUCGCUUAUCAGUUUGGCCUCUUUUCGUUUCAGUUCUCAACUUACCACCAUAUCUUCGUUGUCUCAAGCAUAACAUUGUUACUUAUAUUUUUUGGGUCGCUACAUCAAAACCCCCCAUGAAUUGUUUUCUGAGGAAAUUCAAAAAGAUGAUUGACAAACUCAAUGCGACAGGACUUAAGACUACAGGUACAAAAACAUUCUCAAUCAAACCGUUAUAUGGUGUGUUCGAUAUGAUUGCAAAGGCCCCAUUAAUGAAUAUGAACCAACAUAAUGGGAAAUAUGGUUGUCCCUCAUGUUUGCAUCCUGGUUUACGCUUAGGCCACACACAGACAUAUCCUCCGGGUGACUUUACCGAACAGUCCUUUGAGAACGCUGCGGCAAAAGCUGAAAGAAUUUCCUCCGUAGUUGAUGGAAUUAAAGGCAAAACAGUUUUAUCCAAAAUUAUAGACAUAGCUACUUGGAGUACCCAUUGACUACAUGCACUGUGUUUUGGAAGGUGUUACAAAAAGACUCCUAGACAAUUGGGUAUCAGCUUCAUUCAGGCCGUUUUUCUUGAAUCUCAACAAGCGAAAACUUCAAGAAAUUGACGCAAGCCUUACCAAUCAAAGUCCCCCGCACGAUUUUUCACGAGCUCCAAGAUCCAUUGAAAAACAUAGGAAACAUUGGAAAGCUAGUGAGUACGCUGCUUUUUUACUCAUUACCGUUGCUGAUUGGUUUUCUACCCCCUCUAUAUAUUCACCACUUUGCUCUAUUGGUAUGCGCUAUCCACACUCUACUUCAACCUAAACUAUCGAUUGCUAAGAUAAACGCGGCGGAAAUGAUGUUGAGAGAUUUUGUAAAGUUUAUCCCUGAAUUGUAUGGACCAAAGGAGGGUACUCUGAAUUCUCAUAUGCUGAUACAUUUAGCUGCACAUGCACGGAUUUGGGGUCCGCUGUGGACAUUUUCUGCAUUUGACUAUGAACACAAAAAUGGCUAUCUGAUGGGGCACGUCCAUUCACCUCAUAAAGUUGCUGAGCAGAUCCAAUUCUCGUUGCAAUUAAACCAAACAAUUGAUUCUUUACACAAAAGGAAAUCGAGUCGGAUAGUGAUGUGUUGUCAUUUUUGGGCAUACUCUCCCCAAACAACUCCCCAAACAAGACCGGUAAAAAAUUGUUUGAUGGCACCUAUACUGUGGGAAAUGUGACCACAAUAAAAAUCAGGACUGAACUGAAAUCCACGAUAACUGAUUUGAUAGGCACUUGUCCAGAAGAAGCAUUCACUUUCUCUCGUGUUUAUCACCAAGGAACAAUGUUGCACUCAAGUCAAUACGGUCACAGCGAUAGUAAAAGGAAUAGUACAACAUGUUUCUACUUUGUUAAUGGAAUUGAACAUUUUGGUACCGUUAACUACUUCUACCACAUUAACUCUCAGCCGAUUGCUGUUAUUAAACCAUAUGAAAUCAGGCUCCUUGCUGGCAAGUAUCUGGCAGAGAAAUUUUCGAACAAUAUGCGAUGUUAGACCUACUCAGCUCGUUCAUCAUUCAAGUUGACCGUCAUCAAAGAUCCCCUAUGUUGGCCAUUAAAUUAGAGUCAAUUAUUAGUAACAGUUUUGUGUGUGUGUGUGCGUGCGUGUGUGUGUACCGUUGUGUGCCAUGUGUGUGUGUGCGUGUGAGUGUGUGUGUAUAUGUGUGUAUGUGUGCCCCCUGUGUGUGCGUGUGUGUGCGUAUGUGUGUGUGCGUGUGCGUGUGUGUGCACGUAUGUGUGUGUGGGGUGUGUGUGUGUGUGCCCCAUGUGUUUGCAUGCCUAUGCCUGUGUGUGUGUGUGUGCUUUGUGUGUGUAUGUGUGUGUAUGCCCUAUGUAUGUUGUGUGUGCAUGUGUGUGUGUAUGUGUGUGUGUGGUGUGUGUGUGUGCGUGCCCGCACAUGUUUGUGCCCCCUGUAUGUGCGUGUGUGUGCCCCUAUGUGUGCGUGUACCUCUGUGUGCCCCCUGUGUGUGCGUGUGUGAGUGUGUGUGUGUGUGUGUGUGUGUGCGUGUGCGUGUGUGUGGUGUGUGCGUGUGUGUGUGUGUGUGUGUGUGUGCCCCCUGUGUGUGUGUGUGUGUUUGUGUGUGCGUGCCUGUUUGUGUGUGUGUGUGUCCCCUGUGUGUGCGUGCGUGUGUGUGUGUGUAGCCCCUGU